UCGAGGGGUAACAGGGAGCUUGCUCCGCUGACGACCGGCGCACGGGUGCGCACCGCGUAUGGAACCUACCUUGUACAGGGGAAUAGCCUUUGGAAACGAAGAUUAAUGCCCCGUGGUACCACGCCCUGGCAUCGGGAUGUGGUUAAAGCCUUCGGGCGGUACAAGAUGGCCAUGCGUCCCAUUAGCUUGUUGGUAAGGUAACGGCUUACCAAGGCUACGAUGGGUAGGGGCCCUGAGAGGGGGAUCCCCCACACUGGUACUGAGACACGGACCAGACUCCUACGGGAGGCAGCAGUGAGGAAUAUUGGACAAUGGAGGAGACUCUGAUCCAGCCAUGCCGCGUGCAGGAAGAAUGCCCUAUGGGUAGUAAACUGCUUUUAUACAGGAAGAAAAAGAGCUACGUGUAGCUUACUGACGGUACUGUAAGAAUAAGGACCGGCUAACUCCGUGCCAGCAGCCGCGGUAAUACGGAGGGUCCGAGCGUUAUCCGGAAUUAUUGGGUUUAAAGGGUCCGUAGGCGGGCCGAUAAGUCAGGGGUGAAAGUUUGCAGCUCAACUGUAAAAUUGCCUUUGAUACUGUUGGUCUUGAGUUAUAGUGAAGUUGCCGGAAUAUGUAGUGUAGCGGUGAAAUGCAUAGAUAUUACAUAGAACACCGAUUGCGAAGGCAGGUGACUAACUAUAUACUGACGCUGAUGGACGAAAGCGUGGGGAGCGAACAGGAUUAGAUACCCUGGUAGUCCACGCCGUAAACGAUGGAUACUAGCUGUCCGGGUCCUUGAGACCUGGGCGGCCAAGCGAAAGUGAUAAGUAUCCCACCUGGGGAGUACGUUCGCAAGAAUGAAACUCAAAGGAAUUGACGGGGGCCCGCACAAGCGGUGGAGCAUGUGGUUUAAUUCGAUGAUACGCGAGGAACCUUACCAGGGCUUAAAUGCAUAUUGACAGGUCUAGAGAUAGAUUUUCCUUCGGGCAAUUUGCAAGGUGCUGCAUGGUUGUCGUCAGCUCGUGCCGUGAGGUGUCAGGUUAAGUCCUAUAACGAGCGCAACCCCUACCGUUAGUUGCCAGCAUGUCAUGAUGGGGACUCUAACGGGACUGCCGGUGCAAACCGUGAGGAAGGUGGGGAUGACGUCAAAUCAUCACGGCCCUUACGUCCUGGGCCACACACGUGCUACAAUGGCAGGUACAGAGAGCAGCCAUGUCGCAAGGCAGAGCGAAUCUAUAAAACCUGUCACAGUUCGGAUCGGGGUCUGCAACUCGACCCCGUGAAGCUGGAAUCGCUAGUAAUCGGAUAUCAGCCAUGAUCCGGUGAAUACGUUCCCGGGCCUUGUACACACCGCCCGUCAAGCCAUGGAAGCCGGGAGUGCCUG
rnacentral:rRNA from 1 species